rnacentral:tRNA from 1 species
UGGUACUUAGUUUAAAACAAAACAAGUGAUUUCGACUCACUAGAUUGCGAUCUAAACUCACAAAUACCAA